GUAGCUUUCUGGGCAAGCUAUCUUGUUGUCAAUGAAGGCCUCACUCAGAUUUCAUCAAAAAUAUCUUCAUUUGUGUUCUGAAGAUGAAUGAAGGUCUUAUGGGUUUGGAACGACAUGAGGGUUAGAAAUUAAUGACAGAAUUUUUGGGUGAACUAACCCUUUAAGCUUUAGUUGAGAAAACAGUUAUUUUGCGGAAUUACUGGUUAGUCUGUAAAUUUACUAACUUAGUGACCAUGCACAUUUGCUGUAACUCUGCAUAAUAGUUACAUUUUUCCCCAAAUCAUAAGUUUAAUACGUCUGUUACAUACAUUUAAUCAGCUUCUGUGGCAGUCUAAUGAUAUAUGAUCAACAUAUGUGGAAGUGACGCCAAGGUUUGAGAGUCACGGGUUCGCUAUUGAUUUUUUCUAUACGUGUUCAAUCUUUCUAAUGCCAAAGAAUACUGAAAUAAUAUUUAAAAUCAAUAUGGUAACACUUUAUUUUGAUAGUCCACUUUAGACAUUCUACUAACUAUAAGUAACUUUGCAACUACAUGUGAACUAUAAGUCAUUCUACUCGGUCAUUCUACUGACUGUAAGUAACUUUGCAAACAUGUUAAUUUAUUCUACUAACCCUAGAUUAGACCUUCAGAUUGACAGCAGAAGGUCUUGACAUUAUAGCAGCUUUCGUUGGCCAAGGACCACCCAAUGGCUGUCUGAUUGACAUGUCAAGCAACUAAUCACAGUUCAUUUUGUUCAGUGUUAAGUUUAGGGGCUUGAACGUGAAAAGUCAAUGACAGACUGGCCUGUAAAACACCUGUAUGCAUUUUACUAUUCAUUAAAAUCCAACGUUUAGUUGAUCCUGAUAAGUAUUCAUUGUCACAGUUGCAAACUCUUCUUUUAUGAGGUGGUUUUGCAUCACAACGGCUAUUUUCUUUCUCUCUCACAUCCUCGCACCAUACUCGUUCUUUGGAUCAUGAGCUGAUUGCAGUGGUUGAAUUAAGAACUUUUAAAAUGAAAGACGGUUAACUGCAACAACGAGGAAGGAUUCAUUUGAAAUAUUACUUGUGUUUGGAAAAGGGUGUCCAAAGUGCAUUUCUGUGCGUGAGUUUGCCAGUACACAGGAAAUGUAGGUUUGUGGGCCUUAUCUUGGACAAAGGUCAUGAGCCCAUAUUGUAAUUCUGAUUUCCCAAAUUAAAAACCACAGUCUGUAGCCAGCAGCCUUGUAUACCUAUACAACAGACUUUUCCAAAUUUGUGGUCUUGUGUUGAACUGCACCAGCUGUUACAAACCACGACAACAACAACAACAACAACAGCAAAGAGAGUAAUGUGUGCUUGCUGUCUCAUGCAAACAUGCUGUUCAUGAAUUCUGAAAUGACAGUCCCAGUUCUUUGAAGAAACAAAAAUUGUGAUGAGAGAUAAUAUUGAAAGAGGUUAUGAACUUUUUGAACAUACUUCCUAUUCAUGUGGCAUAACCUUUACGAGUAUCUUCAGGCGAUAACAUUUGGGGAAUUCCCUGGUAAGAAGACUGUAAUACGUUUUUACUAAUUUAUUCUAUUACUUUUACACGUCCUACAAAAUGUCACGGAUUACUUUAAAUGUUUAUAUAUAUGUGCACAUUUGUGUGCAAAUGUUCUUUAAACAUAAUUCUUGCUUUUAAACUUUAAAAUUAAAGUUAUUUUUUCUUAUUAAACGUAUAUUUUUAAAUCUUUCAACUCCCUCACACAUGGUUUCACUUUGCAUUUCAGCAUGUCUUUCCAAAAAGUUUCUGCUGGCAGAGCUUCCAUCUCUUUUGACCAUUAUUAUAACAACAGACUUGCAGAGAACGUGACCUUAGAAAUUUAACAUGGCAAUGUCCACUAAAACACACCCCCUGUGGCAACACUGAGAAUGCAAAGCAUUCUUGCAUUGCAUUAUAAAUCGCAUUCUGGCGCAUUCCGGAACACGAGAACGCAUGGAAUUGAGAGCUUGUUUCAAGUCAACAGCAACAGUCACACACAUACACAUAAAUCCUGUAUCUGUGGUUGCAUGCUUGCUUUGAUCUGAUGUUUUUUGAUGUCCUAAACCAUCCAAAGUGUGCACCAUUUAAGACAUUCAUACUUCAGGAACAAAGAUAACAAUAAAUAAAAAGGUAUGUCUAAACGAACUUUGAAUGUUGACUUGAAUGUUUACAAAAUCAGGUUUGUGUGUGAUACAGAUCAUUGUGGAUAGUAUAUCUUAGAUUAUUUGGUCUUAGAAGCCAAUGUUUGAUGUGAAUUGUUUAUAGUGAAAUCUCCUUGACAAAAUUUGAGCUCAGUUUGAGAUGUUAGCUAUGUUUCCAUCCACUAAUUGUUAUGCAAAUUUGGGGUUAUCGCAUAAAAAACUGAAUUGAAACACUAAGAUGUGCAUAAAACUAAACUAACCAAUGGACCAAUUUCAUUGCACAGCAUCUCCAGUGUUUGGUUUGGUCAUUCUGGAAUGCCUAAGCCAAAUCCUGUCAUCAAAAUGGUUGGGUAUAAUUCCCUCUCAGAACUGUCUAACAUGAUUGCGUUUGCAAACAUCAGGCAUUUGAAAGCAAGAUAACAUGACAGUGUUUACUGCGUUUCGUCCGCACAUUCUGAUGCAAGUCAUUUAUUAUGUAUGAAAAAAGAGCAGCAAGUUCCUUUUUUAUUACAGAUAUUUUGCUCCAAUUUCCCAUCAAGUGACUAUUUUUUUGGAAUGGAAUUGGAAUUUUGGUUUGGAUGGAAACUGUGCUUUAUUCGCAAAUGUUUUAUGCAAUAUUCCAAGUUAAAUUCACAACUUUGGAUGGAAAUAGAUAGCGAGAUCUCUUUUGUAACUCUAGACACAAGUUACCCAAGUUUCUUUCAUUGCUUCAUUUGCAAAUUUGUGCAAUAUACCAAGUUAAAUUUGCAACUUUGAUUGGAAGCAUAUCUAUUGAGAUCUCUUCUUUAUCUCUAGACACAAGUCUAUUGCUAUCAAGGAGAAACUGUUUAAAGAUGUUGCUGACUUUCUUAUGGGAACCUUUUCUUUUUUGAGAUGUUGAGGGUAUAUAAAAUAAUAUGAAAGUAGUGGUUUUUGAUUUA